rnacentral:rRNA from 1 species
AUUGAACGCUGGCGGAAUGCUUUACACAUGCAAGUCGAACGGUUGUAGCAAUACAGCAGUGGCAGACGGGUGAGUAACACGUGGGAACCUUCCUAGGGGUACGGAACAACUCAGGGAAACUUGAGCUAAUACCGUAUACGUCCGUGAGGAGAAAGAUUUAUCGCCCUUAGACGGGCCCGCGUCGGAUUAGCUAGUUGGUGGGGUAACGGCCUACCAAGGCGACGAUCCGUAGCUGAUCUUAGAGGAUGAUCAGCCACACUGGGACUGAGACACGGCCCAGACUCCUACGGGAGGCAGCAGUGGGGAAUCUUGGACAAUGGGCGCAAGCCUGAUCCAGCCAUGCCGCGUGAGUGAAGAAGGUCUUCGGAUUGUAAAGCUCUUUUACCAGGGACGAUAAUGACGGUACCUGGAGAAUAAGCCCCGGCAAACUUCGUG